AACGAACGCUGGCGGCGCGCCUAAUACAUGCAAGUCGAGCGAGAAGACGUAGCAAUACGUUUGUAAAGCGGCGAACGGGUGAGGAAUACAUGGGUAACCUACCCUCGAGUGGGGAAUAACUAGCCGAAAGGUUAGCUAAUACCGCGUACGCUCCUUGGACUUCGGUUCAGGGAGGAAAGACGAUACCGUGGGUAUCGCGCUCUUGGAUGGGCUCAUGUCCUAUCAGCUUGUUGGNGAGGUAACGGCUCACCAAGGCUUCGACGGGUAGCUGGUCUGAGAGGACGAUCAGCCACACUGGCACUGCGACACGGGCCAGACUCCUACGGGAGGCAGCAGUAAGGAAUAUUGCGCAAUGGGCGAAAG
rnacentral:rRNA from 1 species